UGCCCCGUGGCUUAGUUGGUUACGGCGUCCGACUGUUAUUUCCAUACGGCAUCGGAAGAUCGAGAGUUCAAGUCUCUCCGGGGCAG
rnacentral:tRNA from 1 species